GUUUGUUAGUAUUCCCAAUUCAAUUCAACCAAAAUGAAAGUCAUUGUAACGCUUUUGUGUCUAGUUGCAGUAAGCUGUGCGCUGCCAGUAAGCGAGUUACCAUCGAGUAUCGCGACAGUAUUUCCGGAUUCGGUGGGAUUGAACGACACGACUGUGUUGACGGAAUUGAAUAAGGAAAAUGAAGGGAAUGCAAAUCGAACGACAAGAGACAUUAUAGAUACACCAACUCCAGCGCUUGUAGUUGGUCCUUCUGGAAGCGUAGGCAUUCCACUCGGACCUAGCAUAGCAAUUUCAACUGGACCAAAUCCUUCGAAUCCUGGUGGCCCGCCAGAGGUAUUUGCAUAUUGAAUGUUUUUUCUCAAUGUAAUUCAAAGUGAAAUGUUUUGAAAUUCUAUUGUUGAAAACCGCGGUUUCUUUUAAAUAAAUAUUAACUCGAGUUUUGCAUCUAUU